rnacentral:rRNA from 1 species
GAUGAACGCUGGCGGCGUGCCUAAUACAUGCAAGUCGAGCGAACAGACGAGGAGCUUGCUCCUCGGUCGUUAGCGGCGGACGGGUGAGUAACACGUGGAUAACCUACCUAUAAGACUGGGAACACUUCGGGAAACCGGAGCUAAUACCGUAUAAUAUAUUGAACCGCAUGGUUCAAUAGUGAAAUACGGUGUUGCUGUCUCGUAUAGAUGCAUACGCGCUGGAUUAGCUGGUUGGUAAGGUAACGGCUUACCAAGGCAACGAUGCGUAGCCGAACGGAGUGGGGGAUAGGCCACCCGGGAACUGAGACGCGGUCCAGGCUCCUACGGGAGGGAGCAGUAGGGAAUCUUACGCAAUGGGCGAGAGCCUGACGGAGCAGCGCCGCGUGAGAGAUGAAGGUCUUCGGAUCGUAAAACUCUGUUAUGAGGGAAGAACAAAUGUGUAAGUAACUAUGCACGUAGUGACGGUAACUAGUCAGAAAGCAACGGCUAACUACGUG